rfam:Clostridium sp. 7_2_43FAA genomic scaffold supercont2.3, whole genome shotgun sequence.
AAUUAUCUUCAGGGCGGGGUGUGAUUCCCCACCGGCGGUAUAGCCCGCGAGCUAAGUUUUAGCAUGAUUCGGUGAAACUCCGAGGCCGACAGUAUAGUCUGGAUGAAAGAAGGUAAGU